rnacentral:rRNA from 1 species
UACGUAGGGGGGCAAGCGUUGUCCGGAAUUAUUGGGCGUAAAGGGUGCGUAGGCGGCGCGGUAAGUCGGGUGUGAAAUCUCGGGGCUUAACUCCGAAACUGCAUUCGAUACUGCCGUGCUUGAGGACUGGAGAGGAGACUGGAAUUUACGGUGUAGCGGUGAAAUGCGUAGAUAUCGUAAGGAAGACCAGUGGCGAAGGCGGGUCUCUGGACAGUUCCUGACGCUGAGGCACGAAGGUCAGGGGAGCAAACGGG